UCAAAGCUUAUUUUCUUAAUAACUCAAUACCUCUAAUAAUCUUGAACCCUCCACCACUACUGAAUAAUUUUAUAACUUUAUAAAAGCUCUCCUGCUAGAACUAGUAACAAGAAACAGAAUUUCUCCAAAAUGCAAACUUAAGCCAAUACGAACUAAUCAUCGGCAAUUAACGUCUAUGAACCAACUAUAAUAACACAUCAAGAAAACCCUAUAUUCACUCACGUUACCCUAACACCAGAGCAUUUCAGGAAAGAUUAAAAGAAAGAGAAGGAACUCGGCAAAUUUUAACCCCGCCUGUUUACCAAAAACAUCGCCUCUUGCCAAAUUAUAAGAGGUCUAGCCUGCCCAGUGACACAGUUCAACGGCCGCGGUAUCCUAACCGUGCGAAGGUAGCAUAAUCACUUGUUCUUUAAAUAAGGACUAGUAUCAACGGCAUCACGAGGGUUAUACUGUCUCCUCUAUCCAAUCAGUGAAACUGAUCUUCCCGUGAAGAAGCGGGAAUAUAACUAUAAGACGAGAAGACCCCAUGGAGCUUUAAACUCAACAACAACUCCUUAUGUUCAAACCCAAGAAAAUUAAGAAGAUAUGUAAGUUAGUUUUAGGUUGGGGUGACCGCGGAGAAUAAUAAAACCUCCAUAACGAACGGGCACAGUCCUAAUCCAAGAGCAACUCCUCUAAGAAUCAACAAAUUGACGCAAUAUGAUCCGAUAAUCGAUCAACGAACCAAGUUACCCUGGGGAUAACAGCGCAAUCCAUUUCAAGAGCCCCUAUCGACAAAUGGGUUUACGACCUCGAUGUUGGAUCAGGGUAUCCUAGAGGUGCAGCCGCUUCUAAUGGUU
rnacentral:rRNA from 1 species